GUAGCAUUCAGGAGUAUGAGGUAGACCGGAGAAAAUUCAAAAAGGAAAACAAAAAAAAAAAAUUAAAAAUUCCAAAUGAAGCAAGAGUUAUAAUGAUGUGCAAACUUCGUUUAAAAUGCAUAUAAUGUUUCGUAAUUAUUAUUAAUUUUUAAUAGGUAUUUUAACAAUAUAAAUAGGCCAUCAUUAAUGCAAAAUAUAGGUCUCAUCUAAAUUGUACGUAUUUUGUUGUUCUAUACCGAUUGCAAAAUAAUUUUUUUCACGCAGUUUUAGCCGGAAGAUUCGAAUGGGGGAAGCUAAAUAUAUAUAUAUAGCCUAUAUAAGCUUUUCCAUUUCUAAACAAAAUACAGCUUACUUUUUUUUAUCAUCUCUUAGUUUCCGUAAAAGCAUUUUCAUCCCAAACCUAAAGUUGGUGGGAAGUGUUAACCUCAUUAGUGCAAUUGCGGCUCUUUUUCUUUCCGCUCUUCUGUUCCCAGAAUUUAAACUAUUCUAAUAUAAACUUAUAGAAAUGAAUGGAAAAAGCACUCCGGAGAAAUUAAAUUAAUUCCGACCAUAUCAAGUUGCACCGGCAUUUUUCAUGGAGUUGCAAAGGUGUUUACUGCCUGAUGUUCAUUAUUCAUGUCAUGAUUGUCAGAGGAAGAUCUCUCUAAAAGCGCUCAUUCCAUUAAUCAGAAUAUCUCUGAUGUCAUAUCUGUAAGCGGUUGAAUGACAAAUUGUCAUUCUCGGAUAUGUUGUUACAGUUUUUGAUCUCCAAUUGAUUUUUUCUUUUACCGCCGUUUUAUUUACUGUACAAGCAUUCGAUUAUCUUCCGAACUCUCUAUGUUUCUCCCACUCUUCUGUUUUAACCAUUCGUCAGUUCGGCAAUUAAAUAUUGUUUUUAUUUAUUGGAAGGAAAGAAUGUUCUUCUCCUUUGAUUUGUCGCAUUCCUUUCUCCGAAUAGGAAUUUCGUAAUUCUUUGCAGUGCUUGUUGUCUCUAACUGAUUUCGUUUUAAAGAAUUUACAUAUUUUACUUCUCCUAUACUCGACAUCAACCACAUUUCGCUGCUCUUCCGCGAUAAAGGACUCGACUGGUCCCUGAUAGAGAUUAGACUCUUUUGUUCCCGAAAAAAUGAAAGAUGUCAUCAUCGGGAUGUAGUGACCAGACACCGGCCCACUCUAAUGACGUCACUACAAAGAGCAUACAGGGCGGUUGGGAGGAUCCAGAACCCCUAAGAGCCUGAUUUACGACCGUCGGGUUGCGAUGUAAUGCUAAGAAGUGUCUUGAAAGGGGUUCGAGAAUGUAGUUAUGCCACUAAACCAUCUUGUUCGCAUUUUCUUUCCCUUAUUUCGAUGUUUAGUAGUUGAGAUCUCAAACAAAUCUCGAAUUAUUAUUAAUUUCUGUUCUUCUGCCGUUUUUGUUGUUGACGCGUUUCCUUCAAACAUUUUUGUUUAAUCAAGGCAAAAGUUCUUUUCAUUUCCUAAAUUUUACCGAUAAGUCUAAUUAGUUUUACUCCAAAUAAUUAAAAUUAUUCCGAGCAAUCUUUGUUGUUUACACAACAGACCUACAUCUUUCCGAAAUCAAAUUAGUUGAAGACAAAAAUGAAAAUUUUCUUUCUCCUAAUUUGGCAAUAAUUACAAAAUGAUAUCUUACAAAACUUUUUCUUUUUUAUUUUUAUUUUUGCAUUUACUAACGAUGAAAGUCAAGACGAAUUCUAGAAAUUCGAGACAUUUUUUCCCCCUCCAGGUUUUAAAGUAAUUAAAGAUGUGCAAGAUUUAGUCAGUUAAUAAACUACGACGAAUGGUUGUAUAAAGUUUCUUAACAAAUUUGGCAAAUUAAUAGGAAUAGAAGGAAGAAACGUUUUGCUAAUUUAAUUACCGUGUUCAUCAAAUAUUAAACCGGUAAAUAAUAAUUAAUACGAAAUAAUUCUUGCUUUCAGAAGCCGAAAAUUUUGGGAUUCAUCUUAAGGAAUGUAAAACAAAUAUAACUGUUUAAGGCUCAUUCGCAUUGUUGUGAUUGACUUAAUAGCGUUAAACCCUUGCGGCAUUAUGCCGUUGAGGAAGUGUUUGUUCCAGUUUCUUCCAUCUGGCAUUAGAUGACCGUAACAUUUUUUUUUUCUUCAUUCUGUUUCCUUCAUUAUCCUAGAAAACAAAUAAAGACAUUCGAAUAAAAAUUAAUAAAAUAAAAACACCCGUUAUUAAUUAAUGUUGCGUAUGUUUUUGAGAUUUGGUUUUACUUACGUUUAGAAUAUUAAUUAAACAAGUUCAUCUAAAUAAAUACCGUAGUUAUGUACUGUUAAACGAC
rnacentral:lncRNA from 1 species